rnacentral:rRNA from 1 species
GACGAACCGUGCGAACGUUAUUCGGAAUCACUGGGCUUAAAGCGCGUGUAGGCGGGUCGGCGCGUCGGACGCUGAAAUCCCCCGGCUCAACCGGGGAAGUGGCGCCGAUACGGCCGGCCUGGAGGGACGUAGGGGGGGCUGGAACUUCCGGUGGAGCGGUGAAAUGCGUUGAGAUCGGAAGGAACGCCCGUGGCGAAAGCGAGCCCCUGGACGUCUACUGACGCUGAGACGCGAAAGCCAGGGGAGCGAACGGG